CUCAAAUAACAAACAAACCCUGAUUCCACGGAAGGUUUUGAAGAAUGGAUGCAAGAGAAGACCAGGCCUUUCCACUGGGAAUUCUCCAGAGGCUCUUCAACUUUCUUAUGAAAACCAUCGAAGCGCAAUCCCUCAAGACGGUGACUCUAGGCAAGCACCAUCCUACCGGCAAAUACUUAUUUAUCAACGAGAAAUCUCCUCGUUCAAUGAGUCGUGCUCAAGCCAAAAGCAGUUUAAGGAUUCAUGGUGACAAGCCAAAAGAUUUCAUAGAUAGAUUAUUCAUGAUUAGUAUAGCUAAGUAUAUUAUGCAUGCGAUAUGCAUGUUUAUUGUCAAACAUUUUAUACAACUGAUUGAAUUAAAGUGUCCUUAAUUAUUUUUCUGUGUGUUCAACUGGGUUGAUUAGUUUGACUCAGGAAUAUAUUUUCAUGUCUUGCCAUCCAAGUUA